GAUGAACGCUAGCUACAGGCUUAACACAUGCAAGUCGAGGGGCAUCAGGAAGAAAGCUUGCUUUCUUUGCUGGCGACCGGCGCACGGGUGAGUAACACGUAUCCAACCUGCCCUUUACUCGGGGAUAGCCUUUCGAAAGAAAGAUUAAUGCCCGAUAGCAUAAUGAUUCCGCAUGGUUUCAUUAUUAAAGGAUUCCGGUAAAGGAUGGGGAUGCGUUCCAUUAGGUUGUUGGUGAGGUAACGGCUCACCAAGCCUUCGAUGGAUAGGGGUUCUGAGAGGAAGGUCCCCCACAUUGGAACUGAGACACGGUCCAAACUCCUACGGGAGGCAGCAGUGAGGAAUAUUGGUCAAUGGGCGCUAGCCUGAACCAGCCAAGUAGCGUGAAGGAUGAAGGCUCUAUGGGUCGUAAACUUCUUUUAUAUAAGAAUAAAGUGCAGUAUGUAUACUGUUUUGUAUGUAUUAUAUGAAUAAGGAUCGGCUAACUCCGUGCCAGCAGCCGCGGUAAUACGGAGGAUCCGAGCGUUAUCCGGAUUUAUUGGGUUUAAAGGGAGCGUAGGUGGACUGGUAAGUCAGUUGUGAAAGUUUGCGGCUCAACCGUAAAAUUGCAGUUGAUACUGUCAGUCUUGAGUACAGUAGAGGUGGGCGGAAUUCGUGGUGUAGCGGUGAAAUGCUUAGAUAUCACGAAGAACUCCGAUUGGGAAGGCAGCUCACUGGACUGCAACUGACACUGA
rnacentral:rRNA from 1 species